rnacentral:lncRNA from 1 species
CAAUUCGUUUAAAUCCAAACAUCUCUUUAACCCGGCUCUUGUCAAAUCCAUGUUGAGCUUUUUAAUUGCCCACCAUGCUUUAUAUUCAAUCUCCACUGGGAGAUGGCACGCUUUGCCAUAAACAAGGCGAUAAGGAGACAUUCCAAGAAUGGUCUUAUAAGCGGUCCUAUAAGCCCAUAAUGAAUCUAGGAGCUUAAUAGACCAAUCCUUCCUAUUCACAUUCACCACCUUCAUCAGUAU